UUUGCGCCUGCGUCGACAGAGCUCUUUUUCUUUCUUCGCUUUGCAUUUGCUAUUUGCAAUCGUCAAAUUGUGCGCAAACGAAGCGAAAGUGCUGUGAAUUUUAUUAUUAUCAGCGGCGGUGAAGAUGAAAAUACCCAACGAGCCAGCAGAAAAAGUGAUUCGGAAGGCUAUUCACAAUAUUAAGAAUAGCUAUUUUCAAAAGGGCGCAAGGGACA